rnacentral:rRNA from 1 species
UCGCCUGUUUAUCAAAAACAUAGCUAUUAGAGAUAAUUAAUAGUGUCUUCUGCUCAAUGAGUAUUAAAUAGCCGCAGUACCCUGACUGUGCAAAGGUAGCAUAAUCAGUUGGCUUAUAAUUGAAGUCUUGUAUGAAUGAAUGAAUGAGGAGGAACUGUCUCGUCAAUAUUAAAUGAAAUUACUUAGCAAGUGCAAAUUCUUGUGAUAAAAUAAUAGACGAGAAGACCCUAGAAAUUUUGAGUAUAUGUUAAUUGGUUUUUGUUGGGGCAACAAUGUAACAAGAAACUUACAUUAUGGACAAGAAAUCUUUUUGGAUGAAUAAAUUACUCUAGGGAUAACAGCGUAAUGCUUAAGCGAUUGCGACCUCGAUGUUGGACUAGGAAGCAAAUGC